GUGGGGAAUAUUGGGCAAUGGGCGCAAGCCUGACCCAGCAACGCCGCGUGAAGGAAGAAGGCUUUCGGGUUGUAAACUUCUUUUGUCAGGGACGAAGCAAGUGACGGUACCUGACGAAUAAGCCACGGCUAACUACGUGCCAGCAGCCGCGGUAAUACGUAGGUGGCAAGCGUUGUCCGGAUUUACUGGGUGUAAAGGGCGCGUAGGCGGGAUAGCAAGUCAGGUGUGAAAUCCGGGGGCUUAACCCUCGAACUGCACUUGAAACUGUUAUUCUUGAGUGAUGGAGAGGCAAGCGGAAUUCCUAGUGUAGCGGUGAAAUGCGUAGAUAUUAGGAGGAACACCAGUGGCGAAGGCGGCUUGCUGGACAUUAACUGACGCUGAGGCGCGAAAGCGUGGGGAGCAAACAGGAUUAGAUACCCGAGUAGUCC
rnacentral:rRNA from 1 species